GCCCCCAGCAGCUCUUUGGGAGGAGGUCUUUCUAUUGUCACUGAAACCAGGUUUUCCCCUCAAAGCAGCACAAGGCCAAGGACUCACUUUUCUUUCUGCUUGUUUUGAGUUCUUUGGCUUGAUCUUCCUGAGUUCAUCACAGUCACACAGGGUCAAAUUCAUAUACUUGUCAAAAGCCGUGAAGGUGCCAAUGAAGAUAGGACCAUCUUGCAGGAUGCACCUCAUGCUGUAGUCGAUGUGCUGCAGCAUCUUGCUGCUCUUGCCCAUAGUCAUGGC